rnacentral:rRNA from 1 species
ACCAGCAGCCAUAGCACCUUGCAACUCGCAAUUGGCAACCCACUGAAGCUAAGCAGGUGUGAGCCUGGUCAGUACCUGGAUGGGAGACCUCCUGGGAAAAACUAAGGUUGCUGCUGGAA